AGUUUGCAGGACAAAAUUGGAGAGCUGGAGCAACAAGAAGUAAAUCAAAACAGCACAAAAAAGCAGUCUAAGAAAAAAGACGCAGUAGGAGGCUAUAAACUCUCACCGAUUAAGCUCUCCUAGAACAUGAUUGGAUUGAUUGGCCAUUUAAAUGCUGUUUAAAAUCAAUCACUCUUUAUCAAUGAGAAUGGAUAUUCUACUACAGAUAUACAUGGUUGCUGGUUUAUGUGUGUGGAUUGAUUUAUCACCAAUAUUGAGCUAGUUACGUGACGCUCACGGCAAAGUCUUCGUUUUCAUUACAACACUACAUGAUUGCUGGGCAGGUGAAGGCUUACCAAGCUGUUUUUAGUUCCGUCUUAUGGAAUCCUGAAGAAACUUCGAAAGUUGCGUCUACUAGAUGGGAUGGAUUAAUUAAUUUUUUAGACUAGAAGUACGUGUCAUAACUGUCAUUCUGUGUUAAUCAAUUAACAAGGCUUGUCGCUCGAUUUCACGCGA